UCAAGACGUUCCCUAAUAUUUUUAGCCUCAAAUUUUUCUUGUUCCCAUGUGUACCAUCUCCCAUUGUAACCCAAAUCAUGAAGGUCACGAUCUAGAAGUGCAGAUUGAAAGUCUUGCAUCUGUCUAUCCCCUCGAACACGUCAACAUGAUUUUUCAAAGGAGUAGGUAAUUUUGUUGAAAUCCCUUACCACCAACCAUGGGAGAGAUUGAUCAGUACCCAGUCUUUGAAGUAAAUUCCAAGAGAAUAGUCGAUGUCGCCCCUCAGGAUGACCAUAAAAACCCGUUAGACGCCAUUUAAUAUCACUACCUUCUUUGUGCACCUCAACAUCUACAUGGUGAUUAGAAAAGCUAUGCAAGGUUACCUUCAUAUUUGUUUUUCAUCCUAAAAACAACUCCUUUUUAGACUCGUUUGCUCCUAUAUCGAUCCUAUGGCUAUAGCCACAAUAUCUUUGAAUAUUCUCCAUCCUUCGAACAUUGAAUUUUGUUUCCAUGAGAAAUGAAAUUUGGGGACGAACAACUCUCAAUUUAUUUUUGAGCCAAUUAACAGUCCGUGGGUUCCCCAGCCCACGAACAUUCCAGCUUAAGGUAUUCAUAAUGCCUGACUACUCUACCCUACAGAGUCAGCUGAUAAAACAUCAUCACUGUCGGGUAUAUCUGCAACUCGAAUGACCAUUUGGCACUUUUUCCCUUCAUUGUGGUGGAUCGAGCUCCCUUCUCCUAAUAGAUCACAAACCAUGGAUUCAUGAGGUGUUAAGGAAUUACCAUCAUGCCCAUAUGUUGUGCGAGCACCUCUAUUAAGAUUAGCAACAAUUUGGUCAUCAAUGCCUUUAUUUCUCUAAUUGUUUUGAACCCCCAUACUAGGGAUUCGAUUCCCAAAAUCACGUUGAAUUGAAUCAUUUUCCUCAUUCAUUCCCCCAAUUUCCAUUCCAUCUGAUUGGCGUAGCCAUCGGCUUACUCUCUUCGGUCCCCUUUUCGCCGCUAUACGCAAGGAAACAUCCCAGCCAAAGACAAUUUUUGAUGGAUCCACCCUCGUUCGUAUCGGACAGAAACUCUCUCCGUGGCCCGACUUCCCACAGAUAAAACAGAAAAGUCGAAGUUUCUCAUAUUGGAAUCGGGCGUAAUAGGACUAGUUCCCUACUUGAACCUUCUUCCUUCGAUUUAGAGCCACCCGAACAUCCAAUCUAACUUCUAUUUUCAUCUAUUGAGAUAUGCCCAAUGAUGGAAGUCGCAUAUCAUACUCCAUGAAAUCCCCUAGAAAGUCACCAAAAUGUCUCGCCAUAUUUUUUGACAUAAGGCCUGGUGGCAAGUCGUGGACUUGGAUCCAAAAAAUCGCAGAAUGUAGAGAAACAGUAGGAGGGUCUUCAUUUUUAUCCAACUUGUGCAAAAUUAAGAGAUGGUUAUUAAAGAACCAUGAUACCACCAAUGGGGUGCCAUAGAUCCACCAGCGUGUUACGUAAUGACGAAAAAUGGGCUACACUAUCAAUGAGGCAAGUACCAACCAAAGAGAAUUCCAAAUCUCGAUCAAUUAUCUGUGCAUCUUUAUGAAAGGCAUUUUCUUCCUCAUCAUCUGAGAAGCGAAUGUUUGCCAGAUCGUCUUCCAUGAUGGUCCCACUCAAGAAAGCAGUAGCGUAAUCACAAAAUCAGUAAGAUCAUCGAGAGAAACAAGAAGAAAUCAGACAUAAGACAAAAGAACGUAUCAAUGCGGCGAGAGAGAGCGUGCUAAUUAGCAGACUUAAAAGGAUUUUUGGAUAUGUUUUAUAUAUUUAUUAUUUUUAAACAUUAAUAUGAAUUUUUAGGGGAAUCAAUCUUGUAUUUUGAACUUUUUUUUAAAUAGAUUUUUAACCCGA